rnacentral:rRNA from 1 species
UACGUAGGGUCCGAGCGUUGUCCGGAAUUAUUGGGCGUAAAGGGCUCGUAGGCGGUUUGUCGCGUCGGGAGUGAAAACUCAGGGCUCAACCCUGAGCGUGCUUCCGAUACGGGCAGACUAGAGGUAUUCAGGGGAGAACGGAAUUCCUGGUGUAGCGGUGGAAUGCGCAGAUAUCAGGAGGAACACCGGUGGCGAAGGCGGUUCUCUGGGAAUUACCUGACGCUGAGGAGCGAAAGCAUGGGGAGCGAACGGG